GACAGAGGGGGCAAGCGUUGCUCGGAAUCACUGGGCGUAAAGGGCGCGUAGGCGGGAUGGCAAGUCGGUCGUGAAAUCCUUCGGCUCAACCGAAGAACGUCGGCCGAUACUGCCGUUCUUGAGGGAUGCAGAGGAGAUUGGAAUUCCCGGUGUAGCGGUGAAAUGUGUAGAGAUCGGGAGGAACACCGGUGGCGAAAGCGCUCUACUGGACCGCAACUGACACUCAGGGACGAAAGCUAGGGGAGCGAAUGGG
rnacentral:rRNA from 1 species